rnacentral:lncRNA from 1 species
AUUAUAAAGCAAUUUGAUAUAUAUGAUAUUAAUAAAAGCUAUAUUUAUAUAAAAAGUAAAAUAAUAUAAUUUUACAUGAAAUGGUUUAUAUUUCUUAAUAUUUCGAAAGAAUAAACAAAAAAGAAACAAAACAGUCUUAAUGAACUAAUCAAAACCUUAUCAUUGGGUCUGCUACAACAUCAUGGGGUCUGUUGCAAUCAAAGCAAUAUGUUUUACAUGUUUACAUGUAUAAUUUUAAACUUUUUAUUUGUCGGCUUUCUAACUAUUUGAUGCGUGCGUUACUGAUGAGUUAAAUGUAGACGAAAGGCGUGUCUGGCGUAUUAAAUUUUCAGCCUGGUACCUAUGCUAACUAUUUACACAUCAAAUCUACAAAAAGAAGAAAUACCAGGAUCCUUUCCCUCUGUUUAUAUCAUACCCCACGGAACUGUGUUUCGUUAUCAUAGUCCGUCAGCUCUUUUUUUUUCACGAAAACUCCAUUGAAAACUCACAACAGAUUUUAAUGCAGCCUUGUAGUUACAUGAAACUUUUUUCGAUGUAUAUAUCUGUUCAUUUAUUUUCAUUUAUAGAUUAUGCCUAUAUACUAGUAAUGUUAGACCUGGACAUACUACUGCAACUGUUUGUCAUCGCAACUCAUCUGAAACAAUAUUCAAUAGUUUUAUGAGUCUGUGCAGAUAAUAAGAACGUGCAUGAAGACGUUUGUAAAAAAUUAUUAUUUCGAAAUAACUGAUUGAUCAUUUGACUCUGCUAGGAGGAUGAGUCAUUGAAAUUAUUAAUCUGGUGCGAUGUUGAUUGCCAGGGGAGGAAAAUUGGACGUUAGGUACGCCUUCGGAUUUGUGACCUUGAUUUGUUUGACUCAACAUUUUAUGAUUCUUCAUUUGAACAUUAGCAUAUUGAUGUCACCAGCGUGAGACAAGCCCCUAUCUUUCGUUUAGAACUUUCCCCAGUAUAAAAAAUAUUCCAGAAAAAAAUAAAGUUAUAUACAUAUGAACCUCAAAACAACGAUACAUGGAUUGUUUGCUGCCUGGUAAAACACUAAUUUUCGUAACAAAUUUAGAGCAGAUAUAUAAGAAGAUAAAA